GAUGAACGCUGACAGAAUGCUUAACACAUGCAAGUCAACUUGAAUUUGGGUUUUUAACUUAGGUUUGGGUGGCGGACGGGUGAGUAACGCGUAAAGAACUUGCCUCACAGCUAGGGACAACAUUUGGAAACGAAUGCUAAUACCUAAUAUUAUGAUAAUAGGGCAUCCUAUAAUUAUGAAAGCUAUAAGCGCUGUGAGAGAGCUUCGCGUCCCAUUAGCUAGUUGGAGAGGUAACGGCUCACCAAGGCGAUGAUGGGUAGCCGGCCUGAGAGGGUGAUCGGCCACAAGGGGACUGAGACACGGCCCUUACUCCUACGGGAGGCAGCAGUGGGGAAUAUUGGACAAUGGACCGAGAGUCUGAUCCAGCAAUUCUGUGUGCACGAUGAAGUUUUUCGGAAUGUAAAGUGCUUUCAGUUGGGAAGAAACAAAUGACGGUACCAACAGAAGAAGUGACGGCUAAAUACGUG
rnacentral:rRNA from 1 species